CUUGUUCAUUCACAGCUUCCUUCAGUAGCUCUGACCAGCUUUCUCAGCACCUGCCGACCGACAAACCAACCAACCAAUGGAGGCUGGUGCUGGGGGUGGAGAUGGCCAAGAGCCGGUGCGAUGCAGGAGAGAUGAUAUUCAGACAGCCGACUUCUGCUGUGGGUGUGCCCCAGGUUAUAAAUCAUUUCCAUCAGGCUAGCUGGAGUCCCGGCCCUUCCUUUCCACUGAAGAAAGCAAAUCAGAGUACCAGAUAGCGAGAGUGAUAUUAUCACAGGAUAGCCUUGAAACUGCCAUAACAAAAAAAAUAAA